rnacentral:misc_RNA from 1 species
ACCGAUGAAGGCGACUACCAGAUCAAGCUGCGCAACAUGCGCCGUUUCCUGGAAGAGGGCGACAAGAUCAAGGUCAACAUCCGUUUCCGUGGCCGCGAGAUGAGCCAUCAGGAACUGGGCCGCGAGAUGGCGGCGCGCAUCGAGGCCGAUUUGGGCGAGGACAUCGUGAUCGAAUCGCGUCCGCGCCUGGAAGGUCGCCAGAUGGUGAUGAUGAUCGCGCCGAAGAAGCGUUGAUCCUCAAGCCGGCUAGGUAACAAAGAACACGCGCCUUCGGGCGCGUUGUUCGUUUCUGGAGUGGCGUGCCGUGGGCCGAAGUGACAUCCACUUGA